UGGGGAUAUUGGGCAAUGGGGGAAACCCUGACCCAGCGACGCCGCGUGGAGGAUGACGGCCCUCGGGUUGUAAACUCCUGUCAGGUGGGAAGAAGGACCAUUCGGCUAAUACCCGGACGGGAUUGACGGUACCACCAAAGGAAGCCCCGGCUAACUCCGUGCCAGCAGCCGCGGUAAUACGGAGGGGGCAAGCGUUAUUCGGAUUUACUGGGCGUAAAGCGCACGUAGGCGGCACUGUAAGUCAAAGGUGAAAGCCCUCGGCUCAACCGAGGAACUGCCUUUGAAACUGCCUUGCUUGAGUCCGGGAGGGGGGAGCGGAAUUCCCAGUGUAGCGGUGAAAUGCGUAGAUACUGGGAGGAACACCGGUGGCGAAGGCGGCUCCCUGGACCGGUACUGACGCUGAGGUGCGAAAGCGUGGGUAGCAAACAGGAUUAGAUACCCUGGUAGUCCACGCCGUAAACGAUGGGCACUAGGUGCAGCGGGUGUCGACCCCUGCUGUGCCGUAGUUAACGCAUUAAGUGCCCCGCCUGGGGAGUACGGUCGCAAGGCUG
rnacentral:rRNA from 1 species